rnacentral:rRNA from 1 species
CCUACGGGUGGCAGCAGUGAGGAAUAUUGGUCAAUGGACGAGAGUCUGAACCAGCCAAGUAGCGUGAAGGAUGACUGCCCUAUGGGUUGUAAACUUCUUUUAUAUGGGAAUAAAAUGUUCCACGUGUGGGAUUUUGUAUGUACCAUAUGAAUAAGGAUCGGCUAACUCCGUGCCAGCAGCCGCGGUAAUACGGAGGAUCCGAGCGUUAUCCGGCUUUAUUGGGUUUAAAGGGAGCGUAGGUGGAUUGUUAAGUCAGUUGUGAAAGUUUGCGGCUCAACCGUAAAAUUGCAGUUGAAACUGGCAGUCUUGAGUACAGUAGAGGUGGGCGGAAUUCGUGGUGUAGCGGUGAAAUGCGUAGAUAUCACGAAGAACUCCGAUUGCGAAGGCAGUUCACUGGACUGCAACUGACACUGAGGCUCGAAAGUGUGGGUAUCAAACAGGAUUAGAUACCCGAGUAGUC